CUAAUAAGAGUAUUAGUAGAAAGAUGAUCGCGAAAAUUACAAUAAUUAUAGUAUUAGCGUGAAAACUUUUGAGCUUGCAAUAAUGCGAAAUAAGGCUAGACGCACACGACUCGAAUUUCUAUACAUAUAUUAUGAAGAGGAAAGGUUUGUUUGUU